CUCCAUGUCCCAGCCCAAGUCCCCGAAGAACCAGCCCUGCCCCAGACAUCCUGAGUCUCCCAGAGGACCCCUGCUUGGGCCCUAGGAAUGAAGAUGGCCAGCUGAGGCCGAGGCCUCUCUCGGCAGGCCGGCGAGCAGUGUCUGUGCAUGAGGACCAGCUCCAGGCCCCUGCGGAACGGCCCCUUCGGCUGCAGCGCUCCCCUGUCCUCAAGCGUAGGCCAAAGCUCGAGGCACCCCCACCCCCAAACUUAGGCUCCGGCCUUGGAACCAAGCCUCUUCCUCCAUACCCCACAGAACCCUCCAGCCCUGAGCAGAGCCCUCCCUCCCCAGCCACAGACCAAAGAGGCGGCGGCCCCAACCCUUGAUCCUCUCUUCUCCUGCCGCAUGAAAUUAUUUUAUUAAAAAACCUGAAUG
rnacentral:lncRNA from 1 species